GACGAACGCUGGCGGCGUGCUUAACACAUGCAAGUCGAGCGAUGAAGCACCUUCGGGUGUGAAUUAGCGGCGAACGGGUGAGGAACACGUGAAGAAUCUGCCUUCAACUCUGGGAUAACUCCGGGAAACCGGGGCUAAUACCGGAUAUGAGCCUUUAUCGCAUGAUCGGGGCUGGAAAGUUUUUCGGUUGAAGAUGACUUCGCGGCCUAUCAGCUUGUUGGUGAGGUAAUGGCUCACCAAGGCGACGACGGGUAGCCGGCCUGAGAGGGCGACCGGCCACACUGCGACUGAGACACGGCCCAGACUCCUACGAGAGGCAGCAGUGGGGAAUAUUGGGCAAUGGAGGAAACUCUGACCCAGCGACGCCGCGUGAGGGAUGAAGGCCUUCGGGUUGUAAACCUCUUUCAGUAGGGAAGAAGCGAAAGUGACGGUACCUACAGAAGAAGCACCGGCUAACUAUGUGCCAGCAGCCGCAGUAA
rnacentral:rRNA from 1 species